rnacentral:rRNA from 1 species
UACGUAGGUGGCAAGCGUUGUCCGGAUUUACUGGGCGUAAAGGGCGUGCAGGCGGUUUGUUUAGUCUAGGAUGGAAAGCUCCCGGCUUAACUGGGAGAGGUCCUUGGAUACUGGCAAACUUGAGGGAGGCAGAGGAAAGUGGAAUUCCCGGUGUAGUGGUGAUAUGCGUAGAUAAUAGGAAGGAACACCAGUGGCGAAGGCGACCACCUGGACUGAUACUGACACUGAGGUGCGAAAGCGUGGGGAGCAAACAGG